AAAUUGAAGAGUUUGAUCAUGGCUCAGAUUGAACGCUGGCGGCAGGCCUAACACAUGCAAGUCGAACGGUAACAGAAAGCAGCUUGCUGCUUUGCUGACGAGUGGCGGACGGGUGAGUAAUGUCUG
rnacentral:rRNA from 1 species